rnacentral:rRNA from 1 species
ACUCCUACGGGAGGCAGCAGUGGGGAAUAUUGCACAAUGGGCGCAAGCCUGAUGCAGCCAUGCCGCGUGUAUGAAGAAGGCCUUCGGGUUGUAAAGUACUUUCAGUCAGUGAGGAGGUGGGUAUGUUAAUAGCAUAUUCAUUUGACGUUAGCAUGACAGAAGAAGCACCGGCUAACUCCGUGCCAGCAGCCGCGGUAAUACGGAGGGUGCGAGCGUUAAUCGGAAUUACUGGGCGUAAAGCGCAUGCAGGUGGUUUGUUAAGUCAGAUGUGAAAGCCCGGGGCUCAACCUCGGAAUUGCAUUUG